AUCAUACAAUCCGUACUAGGAGUCCUUGUCCAUUUAGAAAAAUCAAUUGCAAAACUAUACAGUAUAUAGAGUUAUGAUUCUAAACCAACAUACAUUGCCGCACAUAUAUAUAUAUAGGGUGGAGAUACCAGACCAGCACGUUAGGCUGCAGCAGCAGAAAAAUAAUAUAGUGCCCUCAUUUCAUACAAGUCUACGAACCCAAUACGAGAUUAAUUAAAAUUUGAAAUGAAAAACAAAAUAAAAUCCGAAAUUAGAAAUAAGAAAAUAAAAGAAGAGUUCAACUUGGAAUGCGAUUUAAAAAUAACUGAAAUUCGUAAUAAAAAAUAAAGACUAUUUAAAGAAUACACCAUCUAGAACACAUAACGAAAUUAAUUAAAAUUCCGAAUAAUUAAUAAAAUAAAUUCUGAAAAUAGAAUAAAACAACUAGGAAUAUAAUUUAUAAAUAAAAUCUAUCGGAACGAAAAAUAUGGAAAUUUCAAAAAAAAAACAUCUAGAACACAACGAUGAUAAAUGACAAUAAAUAUCGGAGAAGCAACGAGGCAGGGAGUAGAGUGGUGACAGCUGAUGGGAUAUCUAAAAAACUAUUAACAAAACCCCAAAUAGAAUCUCAAUGACAAUUAAAAAGAGUGAUGACGGACAGGCCGUUAAGCAGCACGGUCACGACGGUUAGCGGGAUUUCUAAAAAAGUAAAAAAAUAAACCUCAAUGAUAAUCAUGUUCGAUUUUAAAAUUUCAAAUAUAAUAAAGAGUGGGAGGAAGCGGGCGAGCCAUAGAGUAGUACAGUGGCAAAGCCACUAACGGUUUGGUGGGACUCUAGAAAGUAAAAAAUUAAACUCAAACGAUGAUUAUAUUUGAUUUUUAAAAUCCCAAUGACAAUAAAGAGAGGAAGCAACUGUAGCACCCGUAUUUUAUUUGCUUUUAUUUUAAAAAAAAAGCUUGUCAUUUAAAAAUUGGAGUUAAUUUGGUUCUUAGAUGAUUUUGUGCCAAAUGGAUCUCAAAUCCUCUCUUAGAAUUGCCUUUCAAAUUCCUGUGAAACUCUAGGUCAAAUUCAAAUUCAAAUCCCUUCAAAUUCUCCUCAAAAUUCAACUCUAUAAAUCCCUGGGAAAAUGUGAAAUAUCACUGUUCAUAUUGGGCCUCCUUCCCUUCCCUCUCUCUCGGCCCAACUCUCCUCCACCUCUCCUCUCUUCUUUCCCCUGAGCAGGCCGGCCCAGCGCAGCCCAUUUCUGCUCAUCGUCCCCUUCCUUGAGCCAGCCAGUGCAUGCACACAAGGUGUUCGACGAAAUACCGACCCGAGUCGCUGCACCGUUCCGCCCUCGUUCCCGUACCGCGUUGCACCAUACCACCCUCCCGUGCGCCCCACAACGUGCCAGGGCCACGUAGCGCCGCCCCGCACGCCGCGCCAAAGCCGCAUCGCGCCAAACUCCACGAAAACCGCCGCGCCCUCUCCGGGAGACACGGAGCCACGUCGCCCCGCGUCACCCCCGUCUCGUCGCCGUUCCAUCCCGAGCUCUCGCGGACGCGCGUCCCUUCGCUGUCGCCCGUCGUCUUGUCGUCUGUCUCCUCCCGGGAAGCCGCCGAGCUCGCGCCUCCCUCUCACUCGCGUUCCAUCGCCACCACCGUGUGACGUCGCUCGCGUCGCAUCGAUCUGAGAACCCUACCACCCAAAUCCCGGCCGUAGCCGCCGUCGGCCGCGCGUCAUCGAUGUCCCGUCGCCUUUCCCGCUCUCCGCGCGUCACUUCGUGUCGCGUCGCCGUCGUUUUCACCGUCGAGUCACCACCGGUGCAUGACGCCAAGCCAUCGCGUCGCCAUCUCGUCCACCCCGGAAUCCCGCCCUAGCCGCUAGCCAGCUACCCCCGGAGCUCCGCGUCUAGACCGCCAGCUCGCCACCGCGCCGCUUGCCUAUAAAAGGGGAAGCAGCCCGAGCUCCUUCUCCCCACACCAUCACCAUCUCUCCCCAUCUCUCUCUCCUCUCUCUUUCUCUCGUUUUGCUCUCUGUUGCUGCCAGCCAGAGCCGCCGCGCUAUUCUCCCGGCGCCGCCGUCGCCGGUGGAGCCUCGCCGGAGUUCUCCGCCGCCCUCCCUCAGCCGCCGGUCGCCUCGCCGCGCCCCAUCGCCGAGACGCAUCGCUAUCCCAGACCGAGCCGAGCAAAAGAGCGAGAGGAGGAAGAAGCAGGCCUCCUCAAGCCUCUGCCAAGCCGGCCCCACCUUCCUUUAUUCCUUCCUGCCACUGACGAGCAGGGCCCGUGUGCCUUUUCCUCUCUAGCAGCCACCGACAGAGCCCGAGUUCGAGGAAGCUCCGGACGCCGCUUUCGAAGGAGAAGACCCCAACGCUGUGCAAGGCAAGCCCCUUUGAUCACAUUGCCCCUAUAUUUUCAAUGAUAUGUUGUUUGCAAAGAUGCAUUGUUAGUUCACACGAUUAACAUGUUUAGGCCUCGGAUUGUUUAUACAACCGACGGACCAACCCAGUAGUCGCACUUAUAUUACAUAGGUUGAUGUUUCCAUACCAUUGAUAGCUCCACAAAUAUUUGCGCCGGUAUCAUUAUUCGAUUACCGAGGUAGUUUCGCUUAGCCAUGCUUACGUUGUUGCCGUGUGGGAAACUUGGGUUAUUCCAAAUCCAUGUUUAAAAAAAAUCCGGUAUGUUGUACCGAGGAAUUGUGAAAUAAAAUGUGUUGUGAAAGUGGUGAUGAUGCGGAGUCAUGCCUUUGUGGUUUGGCUACGUAUUGUCGUUAAGGACCGAUUCCUUUGGGAAAUCCAUCCAAACACGUUACAGUGCGACCACACGGGUAUUUAUGGGAUGCCUCUGGCUAAGUAAAUUGUUUUCACAUGGGAGUUGGUGUGCCGAUGGUUGUGGAAUGCCGAGGAUGAGGAGACGAAGUGUUACACAUUUUUGCCCAUCAUGGGUGUCUUUUGCCUCUAUUGUGGCGUGGUACCGGUAGGAGUAGGAGGCAUCCUCGGUAUUUCCUGAGUGGAUGACGGCUGUCAUUGCCUGAUACUUGGCUAUGGAUCUUAGCCCAACUAGGUGGCAUGCGGUUUUCAUGGGUUAGCUUUGGAAAGGCCUUAUCACGAACUUUCAUUGCCGACGGGUAAACGAUGUCAGUUUCGUGUCGUGUGGGUAAAGCGUGCAACCUCUGCAGAGAUUAAUGAACUGUUCGAACAGCCGUGCCCACGGUCAAGGGCGAGUGUAAGGUGUUUCUCAUAGCGUAGAUUUGUUUGACAAAUGUUUGUGAAGAAGUGGUUACAGGGAAGGGUAACGUUACCAGAGUCCGCCUGUGUGGCAGACGGCUAACCUGGGUGGUUAGGAACGGGUCUGUGUGACCUGGGGUGUCGUCUGACACCGAGGUGUUGUUAGGGCCAUGAAGAUGGCGUUGUUGUGCUGAGAUAACUGUGUGGACUAUGUGUUGUUGUGAGAAGAAACUAAUAGAGGAACAAAUUAAUUUGCUGUUCGUUAAUCGUGACAAGUUGUUGCAAAGCAACUUGUGGAAUGGGUCGAGGCGUGAGCCUCCUCCCGACAACUAAAACUUGACUCACUCACUAGGAGUUUUGUGAAAUAAAUCACUUUGCCAAAAAGGCAGCUUUCGCAAAUAAAACCUUAGCCUCCUUGUUUAAACCAAACAUGUCAUUCUUUCCCCUGGCUUGCUGAGUACGUUAAGUACUCACCCUUGCCCCUUAUAAUAUUAUAUAGAGUAUGGAGAUGAAGACAUCGACCCGACCGCCGAGGAGUAUCUCCAGGAGCAAGCCGAGUAUGAAGACUUCUAGAUGUUUCGUGCCUAGCCCCAAGCCUCGCCUGUGGAAUAAGAUAGAUGCCUAGGUUAUUCGCCUAGUGCAUAGUUGCUUAGUCGCUUAGUGCUCCGCGCUGUUCGCUUCUGCGCCGUUGCUUUUAUGGUUUUCUGUAAUGUUGUGUUGCUCAUCUAUGGGCCUGUCCAUGAUAGCAACUUAUGUAAGGACUACUACCCAGUGAUGUAAUAAAGCAGUUUACUUUGAUUCCACA